rnacentral:miRNA from 1 species
UCGCAGGAGUGAUGGGACCGGC